rnacentral:rRNA from 1 species
GAAGCGGCAACAGCUCAAAUUUGAAAUCAGGUCCCGGGGGCCCGAGUUGUAAUUUGGAGAGGGUGCUUCGGGGGCGACACCGGCCCAAGUUCCGGAACGGGGCGUCAGAGAGGGUGAGAAUCCCGUAUGUGACCGGUCAUCAACCCCGUGUGAAACUCCUUCGACGAGUCGAGUUGUUUGGGAAUGCAGCUCUAAGUGGGUGGUAAAUUUCAUCUAAAGCUAAAUACUGGCCGGAGACCGAUAGCGCACAAGUAGAGUGAUCGAAAGAUGAAAAGCACUUUGGAAAGAGAGUCAAAAAGUACGUGAAAUUGUUGAAAGGGAAGCGCUUGCACCAGACCUGCCUCCGGGCGAUCAGCCGUCCCUUGGGGCGGUGCAUCCGCUCGGGGACAGGCCAGCAUCGGUUUGGGCGGCCGGAUAAAGGCCUCGGGAAUGUACCUCCCCCCGGGGGAGGGUUAAAGCCCGGGGUGCCACGCGGCCAGCCCGGACCGAGGACGGCGCUUCGGCUAGGAUGCUGGCGUAAUGGCUGCAAGCGGCCCGUCUUGAAACACGGACCAAGGAGUCUAACAUCUAUGCGAGUGUUUGGGUGUAAAACCCAUGCGGCAAUGAAAGUGAACGGAGGUGGGAACCCUGCACCAUCGACCGAUCCUUCUUCGGAUGGAUUUGAGUACGAGCAUAGCUGUUGGGACCCGAAAGAUGGUGAACUAUGCCUGAACAGGGUGAAGCCAGAGGAAACUCUGGUGGAGGCUCGCAGCGGUUCUGACGUGCAAAUCGAUCGUCAGAUGGGUAUAGGGGCGAAAGACUAAUC